rnacentral:rRNA from 1 species
UACGUAGGGUGCAAGCGUUGUCCGGAAUUAUUGGGCGUAAAGGGCGCGUAGGCGGUUCGCUAAGUUGGAUGUGAAAACUCUGGGCUCAACCCAGAGCCUGCAUCCAAAACUGGCGGGCUAGAGUUCUGGAGGGGGUAGCGGAAUUCCUGGUGUAGCGGUGAAAUGCGUAGAUAUCAGGAGGAACACCGGUGGCGAAGGCGGAUCUCUGGGCCUUACCUGACGCUGAGGAGCGAAAGCGUGGGGAGCGAACAGG